UUUGACUACAGACAGAGAGAAAGGCAUUUGGACAUUACAGGUUGUCUGCAAUAUUGCACACCGACCACUUAGGUGCAAAUAGUGCCGAUCGCCUUCAAUGACAACGGAAUAAUGUCUAACUUCAGAAAUGGCGAUUUGCCAUCAGAAACUGCAGCCAGCUGGAUGUGGGGUGGACAGGACGUACCUGUAUUCUAUGCAGUGACUGUUCAGGAGUACACCAAAAGCUGCCACAGAGUGUGUGAUGUCACAUGAAUGAGGCUGGAAGUUGGAGCCAGGAUUCCGAGCAGCUUUGGAAAAAACAGGGAAUGGUGCCCUCAUAGGGAAAUUAGUGUUGAGCGCAAUACACAAGCAGGCUCUCUAAGGAUCUGUAACCC
ensembl:lncRNA